ACAAAUGCGUUGAGGUUCCACGCGUAUAUUUUGUAGCUUGAUUUCUAUGAUAAACAUGCUAUAUUGAAAGUUGAAAGCGAUUGAAAUGAAUAAAAUACAAUCCAUACUUACUAACCACACCGACGAUUCGGGUUGACAACGAGAAGUAUGCGUAAAAUAGCGAUACAACUAUAGCUGGAGUCAAUCUGGGUCACAAGACGCACAUAAAAGAUACGUCAGUAUUGAUGAACACAGAACAUCAGACCUGUACCACUGGCAUCCUGUACCUUCACCAGAACAGACCAGAUACCUCACAAGACAGAAAGUGUGUGUCCAGCCAAGCAUUCAAUGGUUGAAGCUCUAAUAUCAGCUUGGGUGGAAAGAACAAUGAAGAUACAGAACAGACAUAAGUUAAUGAGAUAUGAUAGACUGGAAGCUCCAUGAGGAUGUUAUACAAAAAUAUGGUUGUAGUGGUUUUAGUACAGACACAGAAGAGAGGAGGCGGCUAAAAAACUGCAGUUCAGAGUGUUAGAAGUUUACAAUACCUGUUCAUAUUUCUAUGAGGUGAAAGGUUUGAGCUGCGAACACCAAAGCAAAAGUGAAAUGUAUGAAGUUCAGCUGUAAUGGUAAUGAGAUGCAGGUCUUUGUCCUACAUGGUGAGGGAAACAGUGUGUGGCACUUUUGGAAAACAUGUAAUAAAUUUUAGAAGAUUUUGCUGACGUGGAGAUAUGGAGGACAUAGCUCAGAGUUGUGAGCUUGCUCUCAAGGCAUAUAAUAGCGAUUUGGUGGUUGAAUCCAUAAAAUUAGAGUGGAUCAGGUUUAAGAGGGAAAUUUACCACAGCCUGCCAAAUUCACCAAUUCAUUUGGAAUAGAUACUGAUGCAUUUCUAAAUUCAUUUUAUCAAUUUGCUGGUUGUAGAGGUCUUCCAGGAACAGUUCUGUCGGAUAAUGGAACAAACUUUGUCGAUAGUGAAAACAAACUCAGGUAAUUAGUAAACGCGCUGAAUCAUGAUCAAAUAAAAGAAAAGACAGCAAAUAAAGGAGUUCAGUGGCAUUUCAUUCCUCCAUUAGCACCACAUUGGAGAGGGGAGGUGUACAUGAAAUCAUGGUGAAAAGUGCUGAACGAGCCAUUAAUUCCAUGUUACAGAAUGCUUCUAUGUCAGAUGAGAAAGUUAUGACCCCAUUUGUAGCAGCAGAAGCUCUUAUCAAUUUGAGACCUCUUAUUUAUCAGUCAGCUAACCCUGCUGAUUGCAUACCUCUUACUCCAAAUCAUUUCCAUCUUGGACAAAUAGGAGGAGAGUUCGCUCCUGAGAGCCUUGAUACAAAUGAUUUCAACCCUAGAAAUGGUGCGAGUUCAAGAGUUAGUCUGAAACUUCUGGAGUUGUUGGAUUUGUGAGUGGUUGCCAAACUUAUGUACCUCCAAGAAAUGGAACAGAGUUUGACCAGAUCUGAAAGUUGGAGAUGUCGUUAUCAUGGUAUAGCCUGGCACGCCUCAAGCACAUCGGCCUUUAAGUCGUGUUACACACGUUCAUACAAGUUGCGAUGGUUAUGUGAGAGCAGCAAACAUUAUAGUAAAUGGUAAAGAAUUCACACAGCCCAUUACAAAGUUAGAAAUUAACAGCAGUGAUUAACACAGUUAUGUGUUAUGCAGAAAUAUUGCAUUUUAUAUGACAAAAAGUGUAAACAUUCUCGCAUGUGGAGGGAAUAAUAAUCCUUCAAAAUGAUUUCAUGUGUGGAGGGCAUAAUAAUCCCUCAAAAUGAUUCCAAGUGAGGACGGCAAAAUAAUCCCUCAAAAAUAAUUUUGGUUGUGGAGUGCAUAAUAAUCUAUCAAAAAUAAUUUCACAUGUGGAGGGCAUAAUAAUCCCUCAAAAAUAAUUCCGCGUGUGGAGGGCAUAAUAAUCCCUCAAAAAUAAUUCCGCGUGUGGAGGGCAUAAUAAUCCCUCAAAAAUAAUUCCGUGUGUGGAGGGCAUAAUAAUCCCUCAAAAAUAAUUCCGCGUGUGGAGGGCAUAAUAAUCCCUCAAAAAUAAUUCCGCGUGUGGAGGGAAUAAAAAUUCCUCAAAAAUAAUUCCGCGUGUGGAGGGCAUAAUAAUCCCUCAAAAAUAAUUCCAUGUGUGGAGGGCAUAAUAAUCGCUCAAAACUAAUUUGGCAUGUUGAGGGCAUUAUAACUCUCAAAAAUAAUUCAGCUUUAAAAAUGAUUUCGCGUGUGAAGGGCAUAAUAAUCCCUCAAUAUAUUUUAAGAUAAACAAAUAUCUGAAACAUUAUAUUAUAAUCUUGGAGAAAGAGAAAGACAUUUUUCUCUUUCAGGAA
rnacentral:lncRNA from 1 species